rnacentral:rRNA from 1 species
GAGGAAUAUUGGUCAAUGGGCGCGAGCCUGAACCAGCCAAGUAGCGUGCAGGAUGACGGCCCUAUGGGUUGUAAACUGCUUUUGUAUGGGGAUAAAGUCAGUCACGUGUGAUUGUUUGCAGGUACCAUACGAAUAAGGACCGGCUAAUUCCGUGCCAGCAGCCGCGGUAAUACGGAAGGUCCGGGCGUUAUCCGGAUUUAUUGGGUUUAAAGGGAGCGUAGGCUGGAGAUUAAGUGUGUUGUGAAAUGUAGACGCUCAACGUCUGACUUGCAGCGCAUACUGGUUUCCUUGAGUACGCACAACGUUGGCGGAAUUCGUCGUGUAGCGGUGAAAUGCUUAGAUAUGACGAAGAACUCCGAUUGCGAAGGCAGCUGACGGGAGCGCAACUGACGCUGAAGCUCGAAGGUGCGGGUAUCGAACAGGAUUAGAUACCCUGGUAGUCCGCACAGUAAACGAUGGAUGCCCGCUGUUGGUACCUGGUAUCAGCGGCUAAGCGAAAGCAUUAAGCAUCCCACCUGGGGAGUACGCCGGCAACGGUG